rnacentral:rRNA from 1 species
UGAUGUGUAGGAUAGGUGGGAGGCUUUGAAGUGUGGACGCCAGUCUGCAUGGAGCCGACCUUGAAAUACCACCCUUUAAUGUUUGAUGUUCUAACGUGGACCCGUGAUCCGGGUUGCGGACAGUGUCUGGUGGGUAGUUUGACUGGGGCGGUCUCCUCCUAAAGAGUAACGGAGGAGCACGAAGGUUGGCUAAUCCUGGUCGGACAUCAGGAGGUUAGUGCAAUGGCAUAAGCCAGCUUGACUGCGAGCGUGACGGCGCGAGCAGGUGCGAAAGCAGGUCAUAGUGAUCCGGUGGUUCUGAAUGGAAGGGCCAUCGCUCAACGGAUAAAAGGUACUCCGGGGAUAACAGGCUGAUACCGCCCAAGAGUUCAUAUCGACGGCGGUGUUUGGCACCUCGAUGUCGGCUCAUCACAUCCUGGGGCUGAAGUAGGUCCCAAGGGUAUGGCUGUUCGCCAUUUAAAGUGGUACGCGAGCUGGGUUUAGAACGUCGUGAGACAGUUCGGUCCCUAUCUGCCGUGGGCGCUGGAGAACUGAGGGGGGCUGCUCCUAGUACGAGAGGACCGGAGUGGACGCAUCACUGGUGUUCGGGUUGUCAUGCCAAUGGCACUGCCCGGUAGCUAAAUGCGGAAGAGAUAAGUGCUGAAAGCAUCUAAGCACGAAACUUGCCCCGA